rnacentral:rRNA from 1 species
UGGGGAAUAUUGGACAAUGGGCGAAAGCCUGAUCCAGCCAUGCCGCGUGUGUGAAGAAGGUCUUCGGAUUGUAAAGCACUUUAAGUUGGGAGGAAGGGCAUUAACCUAAUACGUUAGUGUUUUGACGUUACCGACAGAAUAAGCACCGGCUAACUCUGUGCCAGCAGCCGCGGUAAUACAGAGGGCGCAAGCGUUAAUAGGAAUUACUGGGCGUAAAGCGCGCGUAGGUGGUUUGUUAAGUUGGAUGUGAAAUCCCCGGGCUCAACCUGGGAACUGCAUUCAAAACUGACUGACUAGAGUAUGGUAGAGGGUGGUGGAAUUUCCUGUGUAGCGGUGAAAUGCGUAGAUAUAGGAAGGAACACCAGUGGCGAAGGCGACCACCUGGACUAAUACUGACACUGAGGUGCGAAAGCGUGGGGAGCAAACA